CCCACUUCCAAAGCCAGCUGCAAAUGGGCUGCCCAGGCUACCCACACUUCUUCCUAGCCAACCUCAAAUUCAGAGUUCCACAAACCCCCUCAAGUUUGGUAAUUUCUGGAACUGAGGGAAGCACUUUAUUACCCUCCCCAGUUUAUCACAAAGAAGGCGAGGCAGGAACACCAGGUGGAAGAGACCCAUGGGGACAGGUGUUGGGGUGGGGUGCGGAACUUCCUAGCCCCCUCUGGGCACACCGCACCCCGUCACCCCUGUGUUCACCCACUCGGUGUUCCCAUGCAGGUUUCAGUUUGCAGUGCAGCGCUGACCACUGGAGGGUAGGGAAGAGCUGGACAUCCUAACCUCUGGUCCUGCCUUGCUGGUUCUAGUGCGCAGCCCCCUCCUGAGACUGUCCACAGACCCACCCAGAGUCUCCUGAUUAGAACAAGAGGAGCUUCUGUCACCCCAAAAUUCCAAGGGACUUGGGAGCUCUGUGUCAGGAACCAGGAUAAACACCAAGUACCUAUUUUUUUUAUCACCAUGAUCUUAUGAUCUAAUUAUGGAUACAUUAAUAGACUUUCCAAGAAGAAGUGAAGAAACUCGGGAAUUUUAUCAGGAGACAUACAACAUUAUGUAAUUUUCCUCCUGAAGUUUCCUGUCAUUCAGUAUCUUACAUGGAAAACAGCAAAUGAUAGAGUAAACCGUGCUAUUCUCUCUGGAUUAUGAAUGUAAUACCAAAAUUGUAGGCUUUUUAAAAAUUUCCAUAUUGACAUCACAGUUAAUAACAAGUGUGGCAAACAGCCAUUAUGGGGAUAGAUAUACUGUGAUCUUGAUAUUAAACACCCAGAAAAGAUAAAUGGUUAUAAUCAGAAAAAAAGUCCUAGUGUAAAAGUGUAAAGUCCUUGAGUCACAUUACCU
rnacentral:lncRNA from 1 species